AAUGAAAGGAUUUGGAAUUCUCAAUCCCAAAAGGCCAAACACCCAAGAUUGAGAGUGCACUGGUUUUGCUGAGAUGGUUUUCAGCUCACAUUUGGAGCCUGUUUCAUCCCUACCUCCAAGAAGUGUUUAAAACAGAUGGCUGCAAAUCAUAGAAUACUGCUCUCAGAAGAAUGAAAAUGGAGGGUGAUUCAAGAGACAAUGGAAAGAGAUAAGGAGCCAUUGCAAUAUUCUCAGGCUUGGCACAAUCAGCAUAAUGUUUUCUGCAAUCAAGAGCAUCUGGAGGACCUCAUCACCUUCAGGGAAUGGCUUUUUGAUUUGGACUUUGAGCCAAACAGCCUUCCUGACACUGGUAUUGAAAUUCACUUAAAGGUACCAUAAGUUCCUGACAAAAAAUAUAUAUCCUGCUUUGAGAAACCCAAAGCAAUAGAGCUCCUUUAUAACACUGAUUUUGUUUGGUUUCUUAGGCAUGUGUUAGUUCUGUCCCCUGUGCUGGAUUAAACAUUUGCUUUAUGUAGUUAUUAUAUUUUAGGAAAAAAAAAUUUAACCUGUAGCAUAUCCAGACCUUUGUGAUAACAUUCCAGUUAUAAUGAGGUUCAAGUGAAUAAGAAAAUCCAAACUGAAAAGAUGGAUAUAAUAAGGGGUAU